AUGUAUCUGUUACAACAUUGUUCCACAAACAUACUGUAUUUUGAAAGAAAUAUAGUGGUGUUCUCGCAUCAAAGGAUCAAGACUCAUGAACAGGACCCAUUAAAACCCGGACGGGUUGACCCACCCUACCAGUGACUCAUAAGCCUACAAGGAUUGGGUCAACCUGAGACCCAGAUUUCCUAAAACCCGAGCGACUUGCUGACCCGUUAUUCACCACCCAUUUCAACCCACUAUUGGCCUGCCCAAACAUCUGAUGUCAGGAAGCUCAAAUAGCUAUAAGAAAUAAACAUUUAUUAGCCGAUUUGAACUUUGAACUAUUGUUGUAUGGAGUUUUACCAAUCACAUCUACUACAAAAUUACACUAUGGUAUUCCCCCGUAUCUAUUCAUGGUUUAUCGAUAUGUGCCGAUAUAGCACAUUGUACGUGUUGAUAUGGCACACAAUACAGGGUGGUACAUACCAUGGUAUGGGGCAAUACAUACUCCGAAGUUUUCCCUUCUUUACCAGUACAACAACCAUAUAUAUGGACCAAGAUUGAAGUUUUCGCUGAAACCAAUGUGUUUCGGCUGAAAUAGAUUGAUUUCAGCCUGAAACACUUUAAAACUGAUCAAAGUUUAUUUGUUUUAGUCAGUUUCACCAAUUUAGCAGGUUUGACUGAACUAAGUGAAAUGGUCAAAAUUAUCUCAAAAUUGGAUUCCAUUGUUAUUUAGGAAGUGAAGUGAUUUUUUCUUGUUCCAUACAUUUUCAAGAGAAGAAGAGAGAGACUAUUAAUGUCACCUUAUUUCCCCCACUUGCUUCCUUUUGAAAGUUAAAUAGUAGGAGAUGGAACAGACAUUGUUCAUCCCUCUCCACAAUGAGCGCAGGUUGCUCAAUACCCUUUCCUUGCAAUUCCUCUCCUCAUUGGUGAUCCAAAAGGAGUAAUUGGCCGAAACUCGACGGAAUUGAUAAUAAUGAUGAUGAUGAUUUCUUUUUAAAAAAAAAAAGACGAUGACCAUCAUUAUUUAUGUGACCCACCUCCAAAAGUAAUGUGGUAUUGAAUAGGAAUGUUUAGCUAAUUUAUACUCUUCCAUGCUUGUCUGGCUAUUUUAUGCUUAAUUAAGUGAUAUUUGGUGCUGAUCCUCUAUAAUUGAUACAUCCGCACAAUAUAUUUAACGUAUUUGGCUUCAAUAAUCAAUAAAAUUUACCUUCAAACUAAAACUACCCAACUACACAUUCAAGAUACAUGAAAAUGAUGUGAAGUGCUUGCCUUGAUUUCUUUAAUCAUAUAUGGAUUAAAUUAAGUUUUGAUAACCUUAUUUGAUCGAAGUCAAAUUCUAUUUCUAAGAUCCAAUUUCUGGUCAGAGGAACUUGGAUGCAGCUAGUUCAAAUCCCAAAACCCGAUAACCCGAAUAUAUAUAUACACAAACUAUAUAUAUGUAGCAUAUAC
rnacentral:lncRNA from 1 species